rnacentral:rRNA from 1 species
CCAGACUCCUACGGGAGGCAGCAGUGGGGAAUAUUGGACAAUGGGGGGAACCCUGAUCCAGCGACGCCGCGUGAGUGAAGAAGUAUUUCGGUAUGUAAAGCUCUAUCAGCAGGGAAGAAAGAAAUGACGGUACCUGACUAAGAAGCCCCGGCUAACUACGUGCCAGCAGCCGCGGUAAUACGUAGGGGGCAAGCGUUAUCCGGAUUCACUGGGUGUAAAGGGAGCGUAGACGGCGACGCAAGUCUGGAGUGAAAGCCCGGGGCCCAACCCCGGGACUGCUCUGGAAACUGCGGCGCUGGAGUACGGGAGGGGCAGGCGGAAUUCCUGGUGUAGCGGUGAAAUGCGUAGAUAUUAGGAGGAACACCAGUGGCGAAGGCGGCUUACUGGACGGCAACUGACGCUGAGGCUCGAAAGCGUGGGGAGCAAACAGGAUUAGAUACCCGAGUA